GUUCAUUCUCAUGUUACGCAGCACGUUUGAGCUUCCGCAAGAACCAAUGAGAUUCAGUCUCGUGUUACGCAGCACGUUUGAGCUUUUGUAAGAACCAGUCAGGUUCAUUCUCGUGUUACGCAGCACGUUUGAGCUUCCGCAAGAACCAAUGAGGUUCAUUCUCGUUUUACGCAGCACGUUUGAGCUUCCGCAAGAACCAAUGAGGUUCAUUCUCGUUUUACGCAGCACGUUUGAGCUUCCGCAAGAACCAAUGAGGUUCAUUCUCGUUUUACGCAGCACGUUUGAGCUUCCGCAAGAACCAAUGAGGUUCAUUCUCGUGUUACGCAGCACGUUUGAGCUUCUGCAAGAACCAAUGAGAUUCAGUCUCGUGUUACGCAGCACGUUUGAGCUUUUGUAAGAACCAGUCAGGUUCAUUCUCGUGUUACGCAGCAUGUUUAAGCUUCCGCAAGAACCAAUGAGGUUCAUUCUCAUUUUACGCAGCACGUUUGAGCUUCCGCAAGAACCAAUGAGGUUCAUUCUCAUUUUACGCAGCACGUUUGAGCUUCCGCAAGAACCAAUGAGGUUCAUUCUCGUGUUACGCAGCACGUUUGAGCUUCAGCAAGAACCAAUGAGGUUUAUUCUCGUGUUACGCAGCACGUUUGAGCUUCAGCAAGAACCAAUGAGGUUCAUUCUCGUGUUAUGCAUCACGUUUGAGCUUUUGUAAGAACCAAUCAGGUUUAUUCUCGUGUUUUGCAGCACAUUUGAGCUUCUUGUGCGUCAAGCAUGUUUGGUUGAGCUUCUGUUUAUGUUCGCUGAUCAAUGUUUAUAUGUGAGUAAAAGCCUAAAUUAAAUCUGUUCAUCAUAAAAUGUGGACUAAACCGCUCAAUUCAUAUGGAUUAGUUUUAUGAUCUCUUUGUGACCAUUUUGAAGCGUCAAAGUUUCAGUUGUGUAGCUCUCUAUGGAGGGACAGAAAGCUCUCAGAUUUCAUCAAAAAGAUCUUCAUUUGUGUUAUGAAGAUGAACGAAAGUCUUACGGGUUUGAAACGACAUGAUUAGUUUUAUUGCAUGUUUUGCUGAAAAAAGUAAGAUUAAUAUAUGCCUACUUUCUAGUCAGAAUGUCCAGCACUCACUUGGAUUUCGGUCAAAUUGACAAAACGAGCACAGAAAUUUGAACCAAGUCAUGUGACCCACAUACUCCAAACAGACUCAACUAUGAUAAUGAUAACAGUAUUGGAUGAAAAAAAUUGGAUGAAAGUAUUGGAUGAAAAAUUGGAUGAAAAUUCUUUAUCAUGCCUCCUCCAAGAGACUAAAGUGUACAUAUCCUGUGGUGCGCGUUGCAAUGACAGAUUCUUCAUUUUUGGGUGGUCUGGCUCUUUAAAGGUGUCCUAUCACAUGCAUAUGGACUAAGAGUAUCUUCAUAACUCCAGCUCCGUUUAUGAUCGCCAUGAUUGUUUUCACGUUUCUAGGGGAUUUUAAGUGCCUUUGUUCGUCCUCCAGCCGCUGACACAUGAAUCUCGGUGGCAGAGGUUAAGAGCUCGUGUACUCAAACAUGAGUUAUGACACACUUUAGGAGGACAGAGAAGGCACAGGCUCCCUUUAUCUGCUGUUUGACUUGGACAAGUGAGGACACGUUUCUUCUGUGGGCAUUUACUAGACUCCAUCUCUAUUUAAUGGGAAGGAUCUUCCUGUCCUGUUGCGGUUUGACUUAAGGUUCAAUUCUGUGGGCUGUAAGAGGUGAAAUACAGUUGAAGGGGCUCGUAGGAUCAACAUCAGAGCCGCUCUGGUACUGGACGCAUGAGGCAUUUUUUUUAUCAUUUUUAAGCGAAUUACAUGUAGUCUGAAAUCUGAAAACCAACAUGAAAUCAAAGCGACUCUUCUGUUGUGCAACUUAAAAUGAUUCUCCUAUGAAAUUAUUUGGUUCUUUCUGAAAUGUUUUUAGGUUUUUAAGAGGAUUCACUCUUGUUCUGCUGUAAUCUAAACAGCCACUAGUUCUAGGACUAACAUGUCAGUUCUCUUCCCAUUGAACCUCUAUCUGACCUGUCCACCAGCAGCAUGAAUCAACCCAAAAACUUUCAGGAUGACCUAAUGUCAGAUAUGUAACCGCAUGUCAACCACUUACAUUAGUAACAGUGAUUUCAGACAUGUGGUUAUGAAGCAUUAAAACACUUUACAGGAAAUUGAACGGAAGCACAGACAAGAUGACACAGCAAUCUUUAAAUGGACGGGACGUACCAAAACACACAAUCAUAACAAGCAGUCCUACAGACCGUCACACACUUCAACAGUUGUGUUAAAACUCCCUCACUGCAGACAAGUUCAGGAUUGCGGGGAUUUACGAUCAGCCUCUUAUCGGGAAAAUAAGCCAUCAUGUUUGAAGCCUGUAGAUGAAAAUACAUUAUCAGUGACAGUUUUUCACCCCGCAGCCUUCAAGUGAACAUCAUCUGAACUGUGUUACAUCAGAACAAACACUUACAAUAGCAUUCCAGACCAGAGGUCACCUACAGUAACACUGAGAAUAUUAGCAAUGUUUGAGAUGAAUUAUAAAUUUAACUCUUUUAUCUGCUGCUCUUUAUUGAAACAGAACUUGUAUUUAUUGCUCAUGCUUAUAUAAGCAAUUACAAAAACUAAAAACAAAAGCUAAUUUGAAAUAUUAAUAAAUACUAAAGGCAGAAACACGCACCUGAAUGUGAUCGAGAGAGAGACUGGUGUGUUUAGGUGAUAGUAAACACAGAGCCACGAUCACACACAAAGACAGAAUCAUAUUUAUACAGCCAGAAACAUUAAACAGCCUCUGAGUGUUUGAUCUGCUUCUGCUGGAUGAGAGGAACAACCCAGAGAAACCAGAAUCACAAACACAAACAAUGCCUGUGAAAAGGUCAGAACCGCUUUUGGUCUAAAACGCAUUGGUGACACACUAUAGGGGCAAACGUGCUAAAUCGUUUUUAUUUCAAAGGAGAGUUAAAAAAAAAAAAAAAGAAAUUCCCUGAGUUGUAUUGCAAUAUUUGUUGUGCAUAGAGGAGAAUUUCAGCAAUGUUGGUUAAAUAUUAUCUCAGGAACGGUUAUCUGUCCAGCUGGGUCCAAACACACUUUCUCACACACAGCGCAGCUCUCUUUUGUUCACUUUCAUAUGUUUAUCUGUAGGAACCUCAUGAAAUGGUUAAACAGCCCUGUUGUGAUCUAUUUCCUGUUAAAACAGGAAGUUUGGAACCUCAGUCUGAAACCUAAUCACCCACUACCUACUACAUUUUUUAUUAUUAUCAUUUAUUAAAAAUAUUUGCUAUAUGUCCACUGAAAACAUCUUAAUUAACUAGGUCAAUAUAAGUCAAAUAUAUUUAACAUUCUUCUCAAUAAACAUUUGAUCACAAUUAAAUUAAAUCUUUAAUCUAAAUUAUUAGAUAUUUUUAAAUCAAUGAAACAAUCAUUUUAUGUUCUAUUGGGGUCUCUUAAAGGGACAGUUCACCCAAAAAUCAUGUUGUUCCAAACCUGUAUGACUUUUUUCAUCUGUGGAACAUAAAAGGUUUGAAUAUCUGGAACCAAAUUAAGAAAUUUCUCCAAAAAAAUCUUCUUCCACAGAAGAAAGAAAGUCCUACAGGUUCAGAAUGAGUAAAUUUUGACAGGAUGAUCAUCUUUGGGUGAUCUAUCCCUUUAAAGAAGACCCAUUAUGUUCCAAUUUUUUUUUUUUUUUUACAUGUUCAGCUUUCUUUAUUGUGAAAUGUUGCUGUCUGAGCAUUAAAAAGGUCUGCAGUUACAAAGUUUCUGCUUUAUUGCAGUUACUGUUUCUGAACUUGUAGUUCUGAGAUUUCUUCUGGGAACGAACACGUCACAAUAUUCCUCAUUUAAAUAAUUCCCUCCCAAGGCAUAUGCAAAAUAAAAGGACGGGGCCUGGUUUAGUUGCAUUAGUGGUGUGUUGAAACUCGCGGUUAUGGUAAGGGGCGGGACAUUUCCCAAACACACUCGAAGCACUUGACCAAUCACAACACAAUGAUCCAGCUGACCAAUCAGAGCACAUUGUGCUCUUCAGAAAGAGGGGCUUCAUAGAGACAGGAACUAAACAGAGUGUUACCAACAGACUGGGAAGAGAGGGGCUGCAACAAUAGAGAAUAUGGGAAAUAAUGUGUUUUUUGAACAUUUAACAUUAAAACCUAUUCUAGUAAAGCCCAAAAAC